AGAGUUUGAUCCUGGCUCAGGAUGAACGCUAGCGGCAGGCUUAAUACAUGCAAGACGAACGGUAAGUAGUGUAGCAAUACAUUGCCUAGAGUGUCGUACGGGUGCGUAACACGUAUGCAACCUACCUUUUACAGGAGUAUAGCUCGGUGAAAACCGAAUUAACCCUCCAUAAUAUCAUGAAGUGGCAUCAUUUUAUGAUUAAAACUGCGGUGGUAAAAGAUGGGCAUGCGUUUGAUUAGUUAGUUGGCAGUGUAAUGGACUACCAAGACGAUGAUCAAUAGGGGACCUGAGAGGGUGAUCCCCCACACUGGCACUGAGAUACGGGCCAGACUCCUACGGGAGGCAGCAGUAGGGAAUAUUGGACAAUGGGUGAGAGCCUGAUCCAGCCAUGCCGCGUGCAGGAAGAAGGCGUUAUGCGUUGUAAACUGCUUUUGCCAGGGGAUAAAAAGACUCUGCGGAGUUUAUUGAAGGUACCUGGUGAAUAAGCCACGGCUAACUACGUGCCAGCAGCCGCGGUAAUACGUAGGUGGCAAGCGUUGUCCGGAUUUAUUGGGUUUAAAGGGUGCGUAGGCGGCCCUGUAAGUCAGUGCUGAAAUAUCCCGGCUUAACCGGGAGGGUGGCAUUGAUACUGCAGGGCUUGAGUACAGAUGAAGUAGGCGGAAUUGACGGUGUAGCGGUGAAAUGCAUAGAUAUCGUCAAGAACACCGAUAGCGAAGGCAGCUUACUAAGCUGUAACUGACGCUGAGGCACGAAAGUGUGGGGAUCAAACAGGAUUAGAUACCCUGGUAGUCC
rnacentral:rRNA from 1 species